ACGCUCGACACCUACGGGAGGUAGCAGUCGGGAAUAUUGCGCAAUGGAGGAAACUCUGACGCAGUGACGCCGCGUGCAGGAAGAAGGUUUUCGGAUUGUAAACUGCUUUAGACAGGGAAGAAAAAAGACAGUACCUGUAGAAUAAGCUCCGGCUAACUACGUGUCAGCAGCCGCGGUAAUCUGAGCGGGCUGGCAAGGC
rnacentral:rRNA from 1 species